CCUGCUCCUCUGACACGCAAACAACUUUAUUUCUACAAAAAUAAUGCCCAUCAUUGCAUUUUGACAAUAUUGAAAAAAGAAAAAAAAACAUCAAAUAUCAUUAAUGGUCGGUGAGCUUGAAAUAUUAAAAGGAACUAAUUUUAGAAGUGCCAAGGCCUAUUCAAAACUGACAUAGCAUGCCUAACACAUAAAAUUUGCAAAACAGGGUAUACCAAGUUCUCUGUUAUUUGCUACAUGACUGGCUAAUGAUUUCACAAGCACAAACCCAUAUAUUCCCAAAUCAGAUAC
rnacentral:lncRNA from 1 species